rnacentral:rRNA from 1 species
UACGUAGGGGCGAAGCGUUAUCCGGAUUUACUGGGUGUAAAGGGAGCGCAGACGGAACUGCAAGUCUGAUGUGAAAGCCCGGGGCUCAACCGCGGGACUGCAUCGGAUACUGUGGAUCUGGAGUGCCGGAGGGGCAAGCGGAAUUCCUGGUGUAGCGGUGAAAUGCGUAGAUAUCAGGAGGAACACCGGCGGCGAAGGCGGCUUGCUGGACGGCAACUGACGUUGAGGCUCGAAAGCGUGGGGAGCAAACAGGAUUAGAUACCCU